UAGCUAUGUAUGGACGGGAUAAGUGCUGAAAGCAUCUAAGCAUGAAGCCCCCCUCAAGAUGAGAUUUCCCAACUUCGGUUAUAAGAUCCCUCAAAGAUGAUGAGGUUAAUAGGUUCGGGGUGUAAGCGCAGUAAUGUGUGUAGCUGACGAAUACUAAUCGAUCGAAGACUUAAUCAAAUUUUA
rnacentral:rRNA from 1 species